ACGGGAGGCAGCAGUGGGGGAUAUUGCACAAUGGGGGAGACCCAGAUGCAGCAACGCCGCGUGAGUGAAGAAGUAUUUCGGUAUGUAAAGCUCUAUCAGCAGGGAAGAUAAUGACGGUACGUGACUAAGAAGCUCCGGCUAAAUACGUGCCAGCAGCCGCGGUAAUACGUAUGGAGCAAGCGUUAUCCGGAUUUACUGGGUGUAAAGGGUGCGUAGGUGGCAGUGCAAGUCAGAUGUGAAAGGCCGGGGCUCAACCCCGGAGCUGCAUUUGAAACUGCUCGGCUAGAGUACAGGAGAGGCAGGCGGAAUUCCUAGUGUAGCGGUGAAAUGCGUAGAUAUUAGGAGGAACACCAGUGGCGAAGGCGGCCUGCUGGACUGUUACUGACACUGAGGCACGAAAGCGUGGGUAGCAAACAGGAUUAGAUACCCUGGUAGUCCACGCCGUAAACGAUGAAUAUUAUGUGUCGGGGCCGUAUAGGCUCCGGUGCC
rnacentral:rRNA from 1 species